rnacentral:rRNA from 1 species
UACGGAGGGGGUUAGCGUUGUUCGGAAUGACUGGGCGUAAAGCGCGCGUAGGCGGAUCAGGAAGUUGGGGGUGAAAUCCCGGGGCUCAACCCCGGAAUGGCCUUCAAAACUCCUGGUCUUGAGUUCGAGAGAGGUGAGUGGAAUUCCGAGUGUAGAGGUGAAAUGCGUAGAUAUCGGAAGGAACAUCAGUGGCGAAGGCGACUUCCUGGACCAAUACUGACGCUCAGGUGCGAAAGCGUGGGGAGCAAACAGG